AUCACUUCUGCUCACAACUGCCCAGUCCCAGCCAGUCACAUGGCCCCAUCUGGCUACAGAGGGUCAGGAUGUACAAUCCUGCCAUGUGCCCAGCAUAUGGUGAACAGCAUAAUGACUUCCAUACUCAUGUAUCUAAACGGUCCAGGAGAAACGUGGUUUCAGGCAUGGCUGGAUCCGGGAUCUCAAGAGCUAUUACCAUCUCUCAGCUCUGCUUUCUUGUGUGUUUCUUGCUGCCCCUCCCAGUACCCUCCUUACAGCUUAGUAAUCCCAGCAGAAAGAGAGCAUGGACCAGCUAGGGUACGUUCCAGCAGAGCAAGGUGAAAAAGAGCUGAAAGUGGCAUCAGAAGCCCAGAGUUCUGGUUCCAGCUCCGACCACUCAUUCAGUGUGUGACCUCAGGCAGGUCACCAGCCUGAGCUGUGCCUUCAUUUCAUCUGUCAGACGGAUGACUCUGCCCCUCAGAGCUUGCAGACGGCAAGGUGAUAAGGAACAAUAUGGACUUCUUGCAGCUCCUGGAGGCAGACGCUGGAGGGCUGGGCUCCGCCUCAGUCACAGGCAAUGCCCUGAUCCCACAAAGCCCCGGAGAUGCUGUGGACCAACUUGCAACACAAGACCCUAGGAGGGAGGACGGCUGUUGUCAUCUGUUGACCACAAACACGUUUACUGUGCACACUUGUGCACAUGGGUGAGCUCCGUGAGUCCAGACAUGCACAGGGCAGGUGAAUGCAUGGAGUACCAUGGGCAUUAUCCCAGGCCCACAGGCACGUGCAAUCACACACACACGUGGACAUGCCACUGCGCACCUAAGACACACACACACACACACAUGCAUAUGCACACACACACAUAUGCACACACACACACAGACACUGUAAACAUCAGGCUCAAAGGCCCAUCCAGGAGACCAAAGGCUGCAGGUGUCUUCACAUCACAGCCCAGGUGACCUUGUCUCUGGCUCAGGGCCCAGUGGCCUGGCCAGCUCUGGACAUCCAGUCAGCCUCAUUAGCUGGCCUGGGGUCCAGGGCUCGAAAGUGGCGGAGGAAUGACCACCCACUGGCGGAGGUAGCUCCGGGGGGGUCCUUCGUCCCCGGGGCUGGUGAAGUCACACUCCACAGGGCUGCUGCAGUCAGAGCCCACAAAGCCACUGUCAAACGUGUCCAUAUCCAGGCCGGCCAGGGGUGAGCCCGCCUCACUCUCUGAGACCCCUCCAGGUGACCGGCCACCCCAGGGCAGUCCCCCAGCCCAGUCCUCCCCAUCUGCAAGGGGUGGCUUUAGUCUGUCCAGGAGGCUUCCCAGGGGCCCUCCUAGCCCAGGGCUGCCAGCUGAGACACAGCCACAGGACAGGACUGUGGUCCCUGCAUCCAAGAGUGGGUCCUCUAGGCCUGGGCUGGGCUCCAGGCCAGCAUCCAGGUCCAGGGCUGGGUAGCCGUCAUCCUCACAGCUGCAGGGCCAGGUGCAUGGCCCCUCUGCAUCUAGCACAGUCACUGUGUCAAUGGACACCAGGCCGUAUGGCCGAUCCCUCUCCUCACUGUAAGCUGAGCCCCCCGAGUUCUGGGCUGUCGGCCAGAAGCUGGGCUUGGGCACACCGUCAGACUCCACCAGCUCUGCUGGUUCUUGUAGCUCCGUGAGCUGCAGCCUCUUGGCCGGGCUCCGUGGUGGGUGGCAGCUGUACACCUCCAGGGUGGAGGGCACCUCUGGGCUCCAGGGUCCCAGCUCCAGGCUGGAGCCAGUGAAGGGUGCACCCACCCAUUUCUGUGAGAGAGAAAAAGAGAGAGUCAUAGCACAGGAUGAGGGUAAGGUGAGGGUUUAUUUUUCUUUUACUUUUAUUCUUUUGAGACAGUCUGGCUCUGCUGCCCAGGCUGGAAUGCAGUGGUGCCAUCUCGGUUCACUGCAACCUCUGCCUCCCAGGAUCAAGUGAUUCUCCUGCCUCAGCCUCCCAAGUAGCUGGGACUACAGGCGCCUGUCACCACACCCGGCUAAUUUUUGUAUUUUUAGUAGAGACGUGGUUUCACCAUGUUGGCCAGACUGAUCUUGAACUCCUGACGUCAGGUGAUCCACCCGCCUCAGCCUCCCAAAGUGUUGGGAUUACAGGCGUGAGUCACUGUGCCCAGCCAAGGUGAGGGUUUAAACAGACAGAAAGACAGACACAGACACAGAGACAAGACAAAGAGACAUCAAGAGAGACAGACAGAGACAUGAAGAUAGACAAAGACACCGAGAGACAGAGAGAGAGAGAGGAAUCAGGACCACAAUGUGCUCCCACCCUAGUGGAUCCCCCUCCUACUCUGGGCCUCAGUUUCCCUACUUGUAGAAGGGAGUUGCUACCCUUAGUAGUGUGACCAGUCAGACAACUGGUGGCCCCAUAGUCCAGGCAGGGACCAAGAUUCCUGAGUCAAGGAGACAUGGGGGCAGGAGGGCCUGAGGUCUGAGGUACCCCUGAGCCAUCUCCUGCUUUCCCGCCUCCUUGAUGCUUCUUGAAACCUAGCACUCUCCUGGUUUAUGUGUCCCCACCAGACAGACACUUGGCCCCCGGACAUAAGUCUUGUCUCUUCUGUCCAUGGCUGUAGCCCCAGUGCCUAGCACAAAGUAGGUGCUCAAUAAAUGUUUAUUAACGAAAAAAAAAAAAAAAAAAAA
rnacentral:lncRNA from 1 species